rnacentral:rRNA from 1 species
GAUGAACGCUAGCGGCAGGCUUAACACAUGCAAGUCGAGGGGCAGCAUAAAUAGUAGCAAUACUAUUGGUGGCGACCGGCGGACGGGUGCGUAACGCGUAUACAACCUUCCCUAAACAGGGGGAUAAUCUGGAGAAAUUCGGUCUAAUACCCCAUAACAUCAGAGCAGGCAUCUGUUUUGGUUAAAAUUUCCGGAGGUUUAGGAUGGGUAUGCGUAGCAUUAGCUAGUUGGUGAGGUACCGGCUCACCAAGGCGACGAUGCUUAGGGGGACUGAGAGGUUAACCCCCCACACUGGUACUGAGGCACGGACCAGACUCCUACGGGAGGCAGCAGUGAGUAAUAUUGGUCAAUGGGCGGAAGCCUGAACCAGCCAUGCCGCGUGCAGGAUGACGGCUCUAUGAGUUGUAAACUGCUUUUGUACGAGGGUAAAGUGGGCUACGUGUAGCCUUUUGAAAGUAUCGUACGAAUAAGGAUCGGCUAACUCCGUGCCAGCCGCCGCCGUAA